CUUCGCAGUAAAAGCUAAUGAAAGGAAACACAGGGUUCCCAGGGCAGGUGCUUGGCACUUCUCCAGGAAUAGGUAAAAGGGAAGCGGCAGAUGUUCAAGGGAAGGGAGCAAACAGCAGGGACAGAGCGUCCCUCCCUCCCUGGUGGGGAUGAGCAGAGCACACCUGCUGCUGUGCGGGCUCCCGCUGCCAAGCAGAGCGGCACAGCUGUGAGACCCUGCUUCUGGCUGCUUCGCCUGUCUUCAGGGAUGGAGCCCCUCCCAAGCAAGGAGAGUUCAACUGGGUUCUUUGGCAGCCGAAGUCUACACGGACCCUGCAGGGAGCGGUGGAGAAAAGUUUUUGCUGCUGCUUCUAAUAAGAACUAG
rnacentral:lncRNA from 1 species